CGCGGCCUAUCAGCUUGUUGGUGGGGUAGUGGCCUACCAAGGCGACGACGGGUAGCCGGCCUGAGAGGGCGACCGGCCACACUGGGACUGAGGCACGGCCCAGACUCCUACGGGAGGCAGCAGUGGGGAAUAUUGCGCAAUGGGCGAAAGCCUGACGCAGCGACGCCGCGUGAGGGAUGACGGCCUUCGGGUUGUAAACCUCUUUCAGCAGGGAAGAAGCGAAAGUGACGGUACCUGCAGAAGAAGCACCGGCUAACUACGUGCCAGCAGCCGCGGUAAUACGUAGGGUGCGAGCGUUGUCCGGAAUUAUUGGGCGUAAAGAGCUCGUAGGCGGCCUGUCGCGUCGGAUGUGAAAACUCGGGGCUUAACCCCGAGCCUGCAUUCGAUACGGGCAGGCUAGAGUUCGGCAGGGGAGACUGGAAUUCCUGGUGUAGCGGUGAAAUGCGCAGAUAUCAGGAGGAACACCGGUGGCGAAGGCGGGUCUCUGGGCCGAUACUGACGCUGAGGAGCGAAAGCGUGGGGAGCGAACAGGAUUAGAUACCCUGGUAGUCCACGCCGUAAACGUUGGGAACUAGGUGUGGGCGACAUUCCACGUCGUCCGUGCCGCAGCUAACGCAUUAAGUUCCCCGC
rnacentral:rRNA from 1 species